GACGAACGCUGGCGGCGUGCCUAAUACAUGCAAGUAGAACGCACAGUUUAUACCGUAGCUUACUACACCAUAGACUGUGAGUUGCGAACGGGUGAGUAACGCGUAGGUAACCUGCCUGGUAGCGGGGGAUAACUAUUGGAAACGAUAGCUAAUACCGCAUAAUAUUAAUUAUUGCAUGAUAAUUAAUUGAAAGGUGCAAUUGCACCACUACCAGAUGGACCUGCGUUGUAUUAGCUAGUAGGUGAGGUAACGGCUCACCUAGGCGACGAUACAUAGCCGACCUGAGAGGGUGAUCGGCCACACUGGGACUGAGACACGGCCCAGACUCCUACGGGAGGCAGCAGUAGGGAAUCUUCGGCAAUGGACGAAAGUCUGACCGAGCAACGCCGCGUGAGUGAAGAAGGUUUUCGGAUCGUAAAGCUCUGUUGUAAGAGAAGAACGGGUGUGAGAGUGGAAAGUUCACACUGUGACGGUAUCUUACCAGAAAGGGACGGCUAACUACGUG
rnacentral:rRNA from 1 species